CUGAGAAUGACUUUGCGCAUGGAAGACAACUCUUAAAUUAGCAGCACUUGAAAGCUGUCAUUUAAGGAAGGGGCUCCAGUGCAUAAGUAGCGCUACAGCCCUCACUGCAGGGCUCUGUCUCAGCAGGGUGAUGGUGUGUGAACUCCCUACCCAAAACCGACUGGGAUAAGGCCACUGCAUCAUGAAGCUUUCUGGGACACUGUAUCACCUUUGACUCCC